UAUCCAAGAAAGUCAUACUCAGAGUAGAUCCAUUGAAAUCAUUGAUUGCAAUGGAUCUACUCUGAUUAUGACUUAGUUGGAUA